CCCAAAACGGGAGCGGGAGGGUGGAAACCGAAACACCGCCGCCGUUUCCCGUUGCCUUGUUUCCCUGCCGGAAAACGCCGCUCCCCGGCCGUAAACUCCACAAAUCUCACAAAACACAUGGGGCGGAAGCGGAAGCGGAAGCGGCGCGCCUCCAAGGACGAGCUGUCGGAGGAGCGAGCCGAUCCAGAAAUGGCAGGAGAGGGAGUCGGGGAGGAGGAGGGCCACGAUGACUCCGCGACGAACCAGCCGCCAUUGAUGCUCGAUGACUGCGAGGAGGGGGAGGAGGAGGAAGCCAUCGAGGGGCUUCUGGAGCCGUUCAGCAGGGGCGAGCUCCUCGACCUCCUGGUCGAGGCCUGUCUCCGGGACUCCGCCCUGCUCUCCCGCCUCGCUGCCUCAGCGGCCUCCGACGCCACACAUCGUCGCCUCUUCGUUCACGGCCUCGGCCCCGGUUCCAAUUCUGCUGCGCUUGCCGCCGCCUUCGCUCCCUUUGGCGUCCUCGAAGAGUCCCACGCCGUCGCCGACCGUGCCACCGGCCGCUGCCGUGGCUAUGGCUUCGUCACCUUCCGCCGCAGCUCAUCCGCCCGCCGCGCGCUCGCCGACGCCUCCAAGCGCGUCGGCGACCGCCCCGUCGCCUGCCAGCUCGCCUCCCUCGGCUCAGCCGGCCCCUGCCCCGAAAUGCGUAAGCUCUUCGUUGACAAGGUGCCCGCGGGCGCCUCGCGCGACGAGCUGAGGAAGUUUUUCUGCCAGUUCGGCGAAAUCGAGGCGGGGCCCCUCGGCGCCGAUCAUGCAACCGGGCGUUUCCAUAGGUACGCGAUCUUCCUCUAUAAGUCCCCAGGGGGGCUCAGGAAGGCGCUUGAGGAGCCCAGGAAGGUGUUCGACGGGUGCGAGCUCCACUGCCGGCCUGCACACAGCAAGAAGCGUGCAACCGCGGAACCUAUAAACGCCGAUGGCCAGAUAAAUGCCACUGGUUCCACGGCCUUGCCAACUUUCCAUCCUAAGGAGGUUGCAUCAACUUCUGGCAUGCAUCCGCUUCUUGGAUCAAAUUCGCCAAUGGCAAAGGGGACUAGCUCAACCGAGGUUCUCUUUUAUCAUAAUGCUGGGGCAGGCGGCGCUGGUAUCUUGGGUGCAUCCCCUCUGGCCAUGGCUGUACCCUCUACGCACAGCCGGAACACGCUUGAUAGCCAUUGAGCCGUACAGAGUCAGAGUGGCCGGUUGUUUUCCAUGGGCGCUUCAACUUCGACAACCGGGAUGGUCAGGGAUCAGCGAGACAAGGCUUAAUACAUUGUUUACCUUGACGAUAGAAAUGAAAGCUUGCAUGUCAAGGGACGUGGUCGCCGUGCAAGCAAUGUUGCAAUGAGGAAGCUGAGAAGUCUUGUGCCCCAAUGUCCAAGACAUGAAGAGCACGCUGCAGGAGGCCUAAGGUAUUUCCUGUGCACCUCAUUUCCCUCAAAGACUGUUAAGCUGUUGUGGUCAUCACAACCACGGGUUGGUGGUCCAACUCCCAGAAGCAGCGCGGCUAUACCUUGGGGAGUUUGAUGCGCCAAUUCUGGUAGGGCAGAGAAGCCACCUUGAUAUGGAUGCACCUUGAAACUUGCCUUCAGCAGUUCAGCUCAUCACAUCAUGGCAAAAGUGGAUGCACUUUUUUCAGUAUUGCUUUCACGCGACGGGCUUUAGAUGUUUAGGUGGUCAUAUUCUCUGUUGUCAUUCAGGCAGGCAUACAAAGUGACCAUGCUAGUUUAGUUUCUGGGGGCAUAAUCUGACCAGGACUGCACUAACAUGUCAUGGGAUUCUAAGCAAAUUAUCUUUGCUGGUGCCGCUAUGGUGGAAUAUGAGAGCAUGACUGGUGGAUGGGAGAGAGGGUUCUGAAUUCUGAUUCUCAGUGAGGUCAUCAGCGCAAAAUCCUGAUUGGUUUAAUCAUUUCAGCUCAUGUGAUGAAAAAGGCUC